CAUGAAGAGCAUCACUUUUCCAAAGCGUAAGAUUUUGACUUCAUUUGUGUUAAUGGAGGCGUGGGCCUUUGAUAAAAUAAAUUUUAUUACUUGAGAAGCAUCUUCAGAAGUGUUACUUAAUUCAGGAAGAUUAAAAAUGAGGAUGUUUUUAGAUCAUUUUUCCCGCUCAUGAAGCUCGUUUACCACAUCAUCAACAGAAAAUGAAUUGGCACCUUUUUCAGCCUUAAGUUUUAACAUGUCCUGUUUCAAAGCAUUAAUUAAGUUCAUUUUUAAAAUUGUCAAUUUCCCUAAUAUGUACACUUUUAAAAUAUAAACGACAAUCAGCACAAAAAUACAUUAAGGUUCUUUUUUGGAUAACAA
rnacentral:lncRNA from 1 species